rnacentral:rRNA from 1 species
CAAUGGGGGGAACCCUGAUGCAGCGACGCCGCGUGGGUGAUGACGGCCUUCGGUUGUAAGCCCUUUUGCCAUUGACGAGAACGGACGGUAGAUGGCGAAUAAGCCUCGGCUAACUACGUGCCAGCAGCCGCGGUAAAACGUAGGAGGCGAGCGUUAUCCGGAGUUACUGGGCGUAAAGCGUGCGCAGGCGGUGCCAUAAGUCAGGUGUGAAAAGGUUCCGGCUCAACCGGGGAAAACGCGCUUGAGACUGUGGGACUAGAGUGGGAUAGAGGGACGUGGAAUUCCGGGUGGAGCGGUGAAAUGUGUAGAGAUCCGGAGGAACACCAGAGGCGCAAGCGGCGGUCCUGGGGUCCCAACUGACGCUGAGGCACGAAAGCUUGGGGAGCGAACGGGAUUAGAGACCCCCGGUAGUCCAAGCCGUAACGAUGCAGACUCGGUGUCCACUCUCGCAAGGGAGGGGGCGCCACAGCUAACGCGAUAAGUCUGCCGCCUGGGGAGUACGGUCGCAAGACUAAACU